rnacentral:rRNA from 1 species
GACGAACGCUGGCGGCGUGCUUAACACAUGCAAGUCGAACGGAAAGGCCCCUUUCGGGGGGUACUCGAGUGGCGAACGGGUGAGUAACACGUGAGUAACCUGCCCUUGACUUUGGGAUAACUUCAGGAAACUGGGGCUAAUACCGGAUAGGAGCUCCUGCUGCAUGGUGGGGGUUGGAAAGUUUCGGCGGUUGGGGAUGGACUCGCGGCUUAUCAGCUUGUUGGUGGGGUAGUGGCUUACCAAGGCUUUGACGGGUAGCCGGCCUGGGAGGGUGACCGGCCACAUUGGGACUGAGAUACGGCCCAGACUCCUACGGGAGGCAGCAGUGGGGAAUAUUGCACAAUGGGUGGAAGCCUGAUGCAGCAACGCCGUGUGCGGGAUGACGGCCUUCGGGUUGGAAACCGCUUUCGCUCAUGACGAAGCUUUGUGUGACGGUAGUGGGUAAAGAAGCACCGGCUAACUACGUG